rnacentral:rRNA from 1 species
GACGAACGCUGGCGGCGUGCCUAAUGCAUGCAAGUCGAGCGACGAAUAGGUGCGGGUAACCAAGCCUAUUACGGAGCGGCGAACGGGUGAGUGACACGUGAGCAACCUGCCCCGCAGACCGGGAUAGCCCAGGGAAACUUGGAUUAAUACCGGAUACCCUCCUUUGAUCACAUGAUUUUGGGAGGAAAUGUUUUUGCGCUACGGGAUGGGCUCACGGCCUAUCAGCUUGUUGGGGGGUAACGCCUACCAGGCGCCGACGGGUAGCUGGUCUGAGAGGACGAUCAGCCACACUGGGACUGAGACACGGCCCAGACUCCUACGGGAGGCAGCAGCAGGGGAAUUUUGCGC